GAUGAACGCUAGCGAUAGGCCUAACACAUGCAAGUCGAGGGGCAUCACAUGAAGUAGCAAUACGGAUGGUGGCGACCGGCGCACGGGUGAGUAACACGUAUGCAACCUGCCUUCAACAAGGGGAUAACCCGUUGAAAGACGGACUAAUACCCUAUAACACAGGGGUCCCGCAUGGGGAUAUUUGUUAAAGGACAACCGGUUGAAGAUGGGCAUGCGUUCCAUUAGCUAGUUGGCGGGGUAAGGGCCCACCAAGGCAACGAUGGAUAGGGGAACUGAGAGGUUUAUCCCCCACACUGGUACUGAGACACGGACCAGACUCCUACGGGAGCAGCAGUGAGGAAUAUUGGUCAAUGGACGCAAGUCUGAACCAGCCACGUCGCGUGAAGGAAGACGGCCCUACGGGUUGUAAACUUCUUUUAUACGGGAAUAAAGUGCCCCACGCGUGGGGUUUUGCAUGUACCGUAUGA
rnacentral:rRNA from 1 species